rnacentral:rRNA from 1 species
GAUGAACGCUGGCGGCGUGCUUAACACAUGCAAGUCGAACGAUGAAGCCCAGCUUGCUGGGUGGAUUCGUGGCGAACGGGUGAGUAACACGUGAGUAACCUGCCCUUGACUCUGGGGUAAGCCUGGGAAACUGGGUCUAAUACUCGAUAUGACUUCUCCUCGCAUGGUGGGGGGUGGGAAGAUUUAUUGGUCUUGGAUGGACUCGCGGCCUAUCAGCUUGUUGGUGGGGGAGUGGCUCACCAAGGCGGCGACGGGUAGCCGCCCGGAGAGGGUGACCGGGCAGAUGGGGACUGAGAGACGGCACAGACGCCUCCGGGAGGCAGCAGUGGGGAAUAGUGCACAAUGGGCGGAAGCCUGAUGCAGCAACGCCGCGUGCGGGAGGAAGGCGUGCGGGUUGUAAACCGCGUUCGCCUGGGACGAAGCGUGAGUGACGGUAAUGGGUAAAGAAGCACCGGCUAACUACGUG